AAGAAAGAAAGAAAGAAAGAAAGAAAGAGGAAGGGGGAGGGAGGAAUGAGAAGGGGGGAAUAUGUUGGGAAAUCGCUAAUAUUUCGCAGUUUUGAUUUUUCUUUCCUCGUUUUGUUCUUCCCUUUUUUUUCUCUCUUUUUCCCUCUUCUGUUUUUU